UGGGGAAUAUUGCACAAUGGGCGCAAGCCUGAUGCAGCCAUGCCGCGUGUGUGAAGAAGGCCUUCGGGUUGUAAAGCACUUUCAGCGGGGAGGAAGGCGUUAAGGUUAAUAACCUUGGCGAUUGACGUUACCCGCAGAAGAAGCACCGGCUAACUCCGUGCCAGCAGCCGCGGUAAUACGGAGGGUGCAAGCGUUAAUCGGAAUUACUGGGCGUAAAGCGCACGCAGGCGGUCUGUCAAGUCGGAUGUGAAAUCCCCGGGCUCAACCUGGGAGCUGCAUUCGAAACAGGCAAGCUUGAGUCUCGUAGAGAGGGGUAGAAUUACGGGUGUAGCGGUGAAAUGCGUAGAGAUCUGGAGGGAUACCGGUGGCGAAGGCGGCCCCCUAGACGAAGACUGACGCUCAGGUGCGAAAGCGUGGGGAGCAAACAGG
rnacentral:rRNA from 1 species